GAGAGAGGCUCGCAGCAAUGAAGACUGCUAAUUUUCAUGACCCUAGUUGGACCCCAGGGCUCACUCC
rnacentral:tRNA from 1 species